rnacentral:lncRNA from 1 species
GGGAGUCGCCACUUAAUUUUUUAAGAGAAAUUAAGAAAAUUGUUUUCAAAUAACUUAAACAGAAAAAUUGUUUGAAAACAUUUAAAAGGGUUCGGGGAUUCUUAUUAACGUCUUAGGAAUGUUUUGAAGGCACCUAAGACGUUCCGCUUAAUGCGGCUUUCCGACAACUAACCAUUUGACUAAUAUUAUUUUUUAAGAUUUGCGAAUUUUAUUUGAAGUUAAACUUCCUAAAAUUUAAAUCUAAGCGAACUUGCGAAUUUCGAACAUUAUUGUUUUAAAAUUUAGUUUAGUUUUAAGUUUGAUAAAUAGUAUGACUUUCAAUGGGGAUUGGAGUUUUCCUAAUCCUAAGCUAAUGGCAUUCAAACAAAGCAUGUAAACAAUAUAGUAAAGAGGGAGAGAGAGAGAGAUUGGGUCCAAUUUCGGGUUCUGUCUGCCUUGACCGAAAUUUGGAUCCACCUGCUUUUUGGGUUUUUAACCUAUUUCUCGUUUGGGUUUUCGACCCACUUCAGUCUAAACAUACAAAAUAAAUACAAGGUAAAAAUGAGAAGGGCGUAUGCCCAAAAUAAAUACAACAUAAUAAAUUAAAAAAAAUCUUCCAAUCCGCCUUCUGUGACUUUCUUCGAUUCUUUUCACUUUGGUAUCUGUAAGCCUUUCGGAACUAUUUCUUCUAUUUUGCAAGCUUAUUAGAAUAUGGAGAUUCGGUCCUUUGUGUCCCAAUGAGAAAAUGCAUAGACAAAGUCCGUGAGGACCGGAACAUAUUUCACAAGCAGAAGGACAAACAAAUAAUUAAAAUUUGCAUUUUUAUUAGAAAAGAUAAUACAUGAUAAGAUAAAAUAGAUACUUAAAUGGAACAUCACGUUGACAUGAACAUAGAAUUUUAAGUAAAACAAAUAGUAAUGGAUGCCGACAUAUCACUUGAGAAUCAACGGAGCUCUACUCGUACUAUUCGAAGCAUGAGAUAUGAUGCCACAAACGUAUGAAAAGAGUCGAAUCACGUGCAUUCAUAGAAGGAAAUAUAUAGAAUCAAUGAACUGCCACUUUUUAUACAAAAUUUUAAACGAAUAAGAAAAAGAAGACUCUACCCAACUAUUAUAUAUAUAUGUAUACCCACAUAUGAAAAUAUUGCAUCAGGCUAAAGGAUUGAAGCAAUGGAUUUGAUUACUUUUCACUGAAGAAACAUAAUAGAAAAUGUCAACUUACAACAAAUCCAAAGUAACAUAAGUAUAUUUUUUUUUCUAAAAUACAGCGGAUGAAAACUGAAGAAACAAACAUAUUCGCAUUAUUAUUACGUAUUAUAGUUGAGGAAGGUGACAGCAAAAUGCAAUGACAUAAAAUAAGCAUGUUAAACAUGGACCAACAACGCAUAAUAUCAACGAGAAUCGCAAAAAAAAAAUCACUUCUAUAUAUGAGCAAGAUGGAAUUUGACAUUUUUACUACUUCCAGUAUGGAAUGGGGGAAGAAACGACAUGCUUCAACACUCGAAACUGAAAAAAAUAUCACAAAGAACCAAACAGAACUACACUGAUAUUUCAAGAAUCUGAUUGUAGCACUCAAACAAAUGAACGGAGGAAGUGAUAAAAUUGGCAAUGAAAACAUAAGAUGCGACUUGACGGAUGACAACUAAAUAAACUUAACACAAGGAGAAACAAAGACGAAAACAAACACGAAGCUAUUGGGUCAAAGCGUAAACGGACCAACCAUGUAUACUCACAUUCGAGUAUCUCAACACAACUUGACCCAAAAACGAAACAAAGGAACAACAAAUUGGUGAACAGCAACACAUAACGAUUUAGACUAUCACUAGAGAAAAUCGAUAGUCACAGCUAAAAACCAUCGCAUCAAAGCAACAAAGAUGAGGUAAGUUCGAAAGGGGUAAACCGUACCUUUUCCGGUGCAGCAAGACUGAGACGAGAACGAGCAGCAACAGCAACAACCUCCACCCUAAACGAAAACACGAACACCACAUGACGAAACGAAAGCCGCUGGAUCGAUUAGCUCACCAAUCCGAUAAUCUCUGGUUUCGCACGAUCUUGGAAACCCUUUCUAAGAUAGCUUGAAACUCUUCUCAACAAGUUUGAAUAGAAAAAAAUGAUAGAGAGAAAAGAAAUCCUCCGCUCAAAUAUACACACAAAAAAAUUUCCAACCUCUGUAAUUUUCCUUUAGUUCUUUCGAAAUAAACAAAAAAACUAAAAGAAUUUCCCCCUAGAAUUUUCCAACCCGUUUUCUGAAGCAAGAAGGGGGUUUAAAUAGAGGAAAAUUAGGGUUUUUCCAAGAGAAAUGGCUGGAAGAUGCCUUUUCAGGCCCAAAUAUUAUCCAAAGGUUGAGGGAAUAUGCCCUGAAGAUGCUCCCAAUUCGUCCCAUUCCAACGGAAAGGGAGCACACGUAGAGGGCUCGGAUCAAUCACGUGUCCUUGCACCAUUACGUGGAAUGAUCCUACGCUACAAAGACGGGAUUUGCAGCCUUCCUUGCUGCAGCUAUGCGGGCGUACUGUUGUACGAAUCGCAGAGGAAGAGACACAAAUUCGUUCCUUCACGCGCGAUAGAGAGAAGAAGAGAGAGGAGGGUGUUUGGGGGAGAGGUUUACGCGUGAAGGAGAGCGGGGGGGGGGG